rnacentral:pre_miRNA from 1 species
GCAGAUUUCAGGUUUGUGCGUGAAUUUAAUAAAACCGUAAGCCACAAAAAUCUGGAAGGUGGAUUUAGUUUCAUGUUAGAUUCACGCACAAACUCGUAAUCUGUCU